GAUGAACGCUAGCGGCAGGCUUAAUACAUGCAAGUCGAGGGGCAGCACAGAUAGCAAUAUUGGGUGGCGACCGGCAAACGGGUGCGGAACACGUACACAACCUUCCUUUUGGUGGGGGAUAGCCUUUGGAAACGGAGAUUAAUACCCCAUAAGAUAUUGGGACCGCAUGGUUUUGAUAUUAAAGAUUUAUUGCCAGAAGAUGGGUGUGCGUAUGAUUAGGUAGUUGGUGAGGUAAAGGCUCACCAAGCCGACGAUCGUUAACUGGUGUGAGCGCACGACCAGUCACACGGGCACUGAGACACGGGCCCGACUCCUACGGGAGGCAGCAGUAAGGAAUAUUGGUCAAUGGACGGAAGUCUGAACCAGCCAUGCCGCGUGGAGGAUGAAGGUCCUCUGGAUUGUAAACUUCUUUUAUAUGGGGCGAAAAAGGGCCAUUCUUGGUCAACUGACGGUACUAUAUGAAUAAGCACCGGCUAACUUCGUGCCAGCAGCCGCCGUAACAC
rnacentral:rRNA from 1 species